rnacentral:tRNA from 1 species
GGAGAGGUGUCCGAGUGGCUUAAGGAGCGCGACUGGAAAUCGCGUGGGCGGGCUCGUACCUGCCUCGAGGGUUCGAAUCCCUCCCUCUCCGCUA